rnacentral:rRNA from 1 species
AUUGAACGCUGGCGGCAGGCCUAACACAUGCAAGUCGAACGGUAGCACAGAGAGCUUGCUCUCGGGUGACGAGUGGCGGACGGGUGAAUAACGUCUGGGAAACUGCCCGAUGGAGGGGGAUAACUACUGGAAACGGUAGCUAAUACCGCAUAACGUCGCAAGACCAAAGUGGGGGACCUUCGGGCCUCACACCAUCGGAUGUGCCCAGAUGGGAUUAGCUAGUAGGUGGGGUAAUGGCUCACCUAGGCGACGAUCCCUAGCUGGGCUGAGAGGAUGACCAGCCACACUGGAACUGAGACACGGUCCAGACUCCUACGGGAGGCAGCAGUGGGGAAUGUUGCACAAUGGGCGCAAGCCUGAUGCAGCCGUGCCGCGUGUAUGAAGAAGGCCUUCGGGUUGUAAAGUACUUUCAGCGGGGAGGAAGGCGGUGAAGUUAAUAACUUCACCGAUUGACGUUACCCGCAGAAGAAGCACCGGCUAACUCCGUGCCAGCCGCCGCGGUAA